CUUGGUCAUUUAGAGGAAGUAAAAGUCGUAACAAGGUUUCCGUAGGUGAACCUGCGGAAGGAUCAUUAAUGAUUGCGAAUGGUUGCCUUCAGUGCUGGCUGGCUUCGGCUUUGGCAAGUGCACGUCGGUGACUUUCAUCCAAUACCCUGUGCACCUUUGGCCUCUUGCUAGCUUCGGCUGGCAGAGGAUUUUACACAAACUCGAAUGUAAUGAAAUUUAUUGUGUGCGCAAGCACUAAUGUACAACUUUCAACAACGGAUCUCUUGGCUCUCGCAUCGAUGAAGAACGCAGCGAAAUGCGAUAAGUAAUGUGAAUUGCAGAAUUCAGUGAAUCAUCGAAUCUUUGAACGCACCUUGCACCCUUUGGCAUUCCGAAGGGUAUGCUCGUUUGAGUGUCAUUGUACUCUCACACUCCCAAUGCUUUUGGAUUGGGAGCGGUGGACUUGGGUGUUGCUGCUUUACGGUGGCUCGCCUCAAAUGGAGUAGUGCAACUCUUGGUUGGACAUAGUACGGCGUGAUAAGUGUCUUCGCCGGCGCCUCACUUCGAGGGUGGCCGAUCGGGAGCUCCGUGCUUCAAACCGUCUUCGGACAAUCUUUGACAACUUGACCUCAAAUCGAGUAGGACUACCCGCUGAACUUAAGCAUAUCAAUAAGCGGAGG
rnacentral:rRNA from 1 species